GACGAACGCUGGCGGCGUGCCUAACACAUGCAAGUCGAGCGGAGGCGGAGGAAGAUCCAGCGAUGGGUCCAAGACUGCUUUAGCGGCGAACGGGUGAGUAACACGUGGGCAAUCUGCCCUCUGGAGCGGGAUAGCAGACCGAAAGGCCUGCUAAUACCGCAUGAGGCCGGACCUUCGCAUGGAGGACCGGUCAAAGGGGAAACCCGCCGGAGGAGGAGCCCGCGUCCCAUUAGCUAGUUGGCGGAGUAACGGCCCACCAAGGCGAUGAUGGGUAGCCGGCCUGAGAGGGUGAACGGCCACAUUGGGACUGAGACACGGCCCAGACUCCUACGGGGGGCAGCAGUGAGGGAUUUUCGGCAAUGGGCGAAAGCCUGACCGAGCGACGCCGCGUGAGCGAAGAAGGCCUUCGGGUCGUAAAGCUCUGUCUAGGGGGAAGAGAGAGGACGGUACCCCUGGAGGAAGCCACGGCUAACUACGUGCCAGCAGCCGCGGUAAUACGUAGGUGGCGAGCGUUGUCCGGAAUUACUGGGCGUAAAGGGCGCGCAGGCGGUUCGUUAAGUCUGGGGUGAAAUCCUUCGGCUCAACCGGAGGGGGACCCUGGAUACUGGCGGGCUUGAGUGUGGGAGAGGGAAGCGGAAUUCCACGUGUAACGGUGAAAUGUAUAGAUAUGUGGAGGAACACCGGUGGCGAAGGCGGCUUCCUGGACCAUAACUGACGCUGAGGCGCGAAAGCUGGGGGAGCGAACAGGAUUAGAUACCCUGGUAGUCCCAGCCGUAAACGAUGAACACUAGGUGUGGGGGGUAUCGACCCCUUCCGUGCCGCAGCUAACGCAAUAAGUGUUCCGCCUGGGGAGUACGGCCGCAGGGUUGA
rnacentral:rRNA from 1 species